GAUGAACGCUGGCGGCGUGCUUAACACAUGCCAGUCGAACGGAAAGGCCCUGCUUUUGUGGGGUGCUCGAGUGGCGAACGGGUGAGUAACACGUGAGUAACCUGCCCUUGACUUUGGGAUAGCUUCAGGAAGCUGGGGCUAAUACCGUAUAGGAGCUCCUGCUGCAUGGUGGGGGUUGGAAAGUUUCUGCGGUUGGGGAUGGACUCGCGGCUUACCAGCUUGUUGGUGGGGUAGUGGCUUACCAAGGCUUUGACGGGUAGCCGGCCUGAGAGGGUGACCGGCCACAUUGGGACUGAGAUACGGCCCAGACUCCUACGGGAGGCAGCAGUGGGGAAUAUUGCACAAUGGGCGGAAGCCUGAUGCAGCAACGCCGCGUGCGGGAUGACGGCCUUCGGGUUGUAAACCGCUUUCGCCUGUGACGAAGCGUGAGUGACGGUAAUGGGUAAAGAAGCACCGGCUAACUACGUG
rnacentral:rRNA from 1 species